GACGAACGCUGGCGGCGUGCUUAACACAUGCAAGUCGAACGGAAAGGCCCUGCUUUUGUGGGGUGCUCGAGUGGCGAACGGGUGAGUAACACGUGAGUAACCUGCCCUUGACUUUGGGAUAACUUCAGGAAACUGGGGCUAAUACCGGAUAGGAGCUCCUGCUGCAUGGUGGGGGUUGGAAAGUUUCGGCGGUUGGGGAUGGACUCGCGGCUGAUCAGCUUGUUGGUGGGGUAGUGGCUUACCAAGGCUUUGACGGGUAGCCGGCCUGAGAGGGUGGCCGGCCACAUUGGGACUGAGAUACGGACCAGACUCCUACGGGAGGCAGCAGUGGGGAAUAUUGCACAAUGGGCGGAAGCCUGAUGCAGCAACGCCGCGUGCGUGAUGACGGCCUGCGGGUUGUAAACCGCUUUCGCCUGUGACGAAGCGUGAGUGACGGUAAUGGGUAAAGAAGCACCGGCUAACUACGUG
rnacentral:rRNA from 1 species